rnacentral:rRNA from 1 species
UACGUAGGGUGCGAGCGUUAAUCGGAAUUACUGGGCGUAAAGCGUGCGCAGGCGGCGCGUUAAGACAGGUGUGAAAGCCCCGAGCUUAACUUGGGAAUUGCGCUUGUGACUGGCGUGCUGGAGUGUGGCAGAGGGAGGUGGAAUUCCACGUGUAGCAGUGAAAUGCGUAGAGAUGUGGAGGAACACCGAUGGCGAAGGCAGCUCUCUGGGACGGUACUGACGCUGAGACGCGAAAGCGUGGGGAGCGAACAGG